rnacentral:rRNA from 1 species
AACGAACGCUGGCGGCAUGCCUAACACAUGCAAGUCGAACGAGACCUUCGGGUCUAGUGGCGCACGGGUGCGUAACGCGUGGGAACCUGCCUUUAGGUUCGGAAUAACUCAGAGAAAUUUGAGCUAAUACCGGAUGAUGUCUUCGGACCAAAGAUUUAUCGCCUUUAGAUGGGCCCGCGUUGGAUUAGCUAGUUGGUGGGGUAAAGGCCUACCAAGGCGACGAUCAAUAGCUGGUCUGAGAGGAUGAUCAGCCACACUGGGACUGAGACACGGCCCAGACUCCUACGGGAGGCAGCAGUGGGGAAUAUUGGACAAUGGGCGAAAGCCUGAUCCAGCAAUGCCGCGUGAGUGAUGAAGGCCUUAGGGUUGUAAAGCUCUUUUACCCGAGAUGAUAAUGACAGUAUCGGGAGAAUAAGCUCCGGCUAACUCCGUG